AUCCUGGCUCAGGAUGAACGCUGGCGGCGUGCUUAACACAUGCAAGUCGAACGAAGCACUUUACUUGAUCUUUUCGGAGUGAUUGUUUUGUGACUGAGUGGCGGACGGGUGAGUAACGCGUGGGUAACCUGCCUCACACAGGGGGAUAACAGUUGGAAACGGCUGCUAAUACCGCAUAAGCGCACAGUACCGCAUGGUAUGGUGUGAAAAACUCCGGUGGUGUGAGAUGGACCCGCGUCUGAUUAGCUAGUUGGCAGGGUAACGGCCUACCAAGGCGACGAUCAGUAGCCGACCUGAGAGGGUGACCGGCCACAUUGGGACUGAGACACGGCCCAAACUCCUACGGGAGGCAGCAGUGGGGAAUAUUGCACAAUGGGGGAAACCCUGAUGCAGCGACGCCGCGUGAGCGAAGAAGUAUUUCGGUAUGUAAAGCUCUAUCAGCAGGGAAGAAGAAAUGACGGUACCUGACUAAGAAGCACCGGCUAAAUACGUG
rnacentral:rRNA from 1 species